rnacentral:misc_RNA from 1 species
GGUAUUCGCUAUCAUGACCCUGCCAUCUCUCACCAUUCCAUUCCUGCUGUUCUACAGGAGCAAAAGCAGAUACGACACACCUAAGCCGAAAAAGAACUAAAAACAAUUUGUGAAUUUAGUUUUUUUACAAAUUAUAAUUUUUAUUUUUUUUUUUUAUAAUAAAAGUAUUUUGGAAAAAAAGCAUUACCUAGAGGUAUUUUUUUGUUGUAAUUUCCUAUUAAUUGAAAAAUGCUCAAAAUGAAAGUGAGAGUUAUCUAUCUUCUUAUUUUGUGUAGAUAAUAUAAAAAUAAUUUUGUGUAAUGUUAAAUUAGUAUUGAAUAAAUUAUUUGAUAAGUAAAGACAUUUCUGUGAGACAGUAUAAAUUCAUCAAUAUCUGUGAGGCUCUAGUGAGGUUGUAAUGUGGAGUGAAUGUUUUUUUUAAAAUAAAUGUUGACCAAC